rnacentral:miRNA from 12 species
AUAUAUAUAUAAAUAUAUAUAUAUAAAUAUAUAUAUAUAUAUACACACACACACAUAUAUAUAUAUAUACACACACACACACAUAUAUAUAUACAUAUAUAUAUAUA